UGGCAAUACAAGUAUAGUUUUAUUGCUAUAUGGGGUGUUAUCGGAUCAAAUGGGUAGGCUCAAGACGAGCGGCUAAAAUAUACGAAAACAACACAUGAGCAAUGAAACAUAACAUAUACGGAAACAACACAUGAACUUGAAAAUUGAUAAAAUGGUUUCAAAAAGUGUAAUAUUAAAGUAAUAUUAAUUUCAUUCAAGAAUGAUCGCAAAUAUCAUGUUGAUUCUGUUUAAUUGUCAUGAAUGACACAAAUUUGUCAUCUACAUUGGUAACCAGUAUAUAAAUCAGAGAUAAAUGUCGUAAUGUAACUAAACAUCAGUAAGUAAAAUAUAUUGGGAUGACAAAAUAUGAAAAAUAAAGAAAGAAUAAUGAGUAAGAUAAAUAAAAUGUAGAAAAAAUGACAUAACAAUUUAAAGAAUACAGAAAUAAACAAUACCCCCAAUGCAGACCCUCAUGGUAUACACGAGAAUCUGGAUGGUAACGCAGAAUAUAGAAUAAUAGAUAAGGACAGUAGAGCGUGAUACAUUGCUAAAAACGAGAGAAAAAUAAUACUUGUUUAAGAAUACACAUAUGAAACACCGAUGGCUGUUGAUACAGUAACGGCCGAUUGCGAUGUACUUAUAUUGGUGACAAAUUCUAGAAGUUUACAUGCGGAC
rnacentral:lncRNA from 1 species